CCCCGGUCACUUCGGUUUCAACAUGGAGUCAGAAAAGGAGGAGAAGAGAGGCGCGCUAGUAACUUUACCCAAACACUCGUACUGGUUUGACUUCUGGGUGUUCAUCCUCUUCGACAUCGCCUUUUUCUUGUUCAUGUAUUUUCUUGUGCCCUAACUACCAUACCGAUCCCCGAUCAACAUCGGCACACUGACGCUAACCUGAACCUAAGUGAGUGGACAAGAAGGACCAAGUGUGGCGAAGAUGAACUGGACCAACACCGGGUUUGAACGUUUCUGCCGAGGCCCAUGAACUGUCUUUGACCAGCUGCAACCCCACUGACAUUGAUAUUUAUUGAGUGUGUGCUGUUUGUUUCCUGUUACCUACAUAAUUGGCUGCAUACCAACAGUGCCUGUAACUUUCAUGACCCCCUGUCUUGAAGAAUGAGUAUUUGAGGACUUAGUUAACGCUGUUUGAUUAAAGUUAAAAUAUUCAUACUUAGGUUUGUGUGUUAAUGUAGCGAGUGCCUACCCCAUGUAUUCUCUUUGUGUGUUUGUAACCUCUUCUCUCUUUGCAAUGUCAUAAGCUCUCAUGAAAUGGGGAAGAAUAAAAAGCAACGUUGCUUGACUGGUGUGAUCAGUAUUAAGAAGGCCUGGUUGGAACAAAUGUAACUGGCUUGCCUACUGAAUUCCAGUCCUGCAUGGCUGCAUUCCAGUUCAGUCCCUACAGCUCUGCUUGAGCUAUUGACAAACCCCAUGUGCUUUCAUGCUGUUUGGAAGGAAAAGGUGCAGAUACUGUGGCCCGUUAGGGCCGUGGCCCAGCAUCUUUAUCAUAUAUGUCCCCCACUCUCAGUGCACUGCUUUCUCUGUGCAGACCUGGCAGUCUUACACCACCAGUAAUGAGCUGGCUGUGAUAGAUGCUUUUUUUUAAAUGCACAUAGCAAGUAGUUAGGCCUAUUCAAAGAAAGCCAGAAACUGUCAUAAGUCCUGUCAUAACAUUGUUGUAAUCAGAAGCUGUGAUACCCGCCAUUGUUCAAUUCACCCUAAACAUCUCAUUUAA